rnacentral:snRNA from 1 species
GGAUAUGAGGGUAACAAAGCCAUGACAUCUAAAACCCAAUUGAUAGGCAGGGUUGACUCAGCUGAUCUAACUAGCUACUCAAGUUUCCCCAUCCUCUGUCACUAUUCCAUGUGUGUCCCUUCCACGGCUGCAUGUUUGGUCAAAGAGGGUGACCUUCUUCAGUUAGAAGAAGACCUGUCUUCUAAGGAGAGUAUAUGAGUACCUCUGCUUGACUGCUAGAACCUCUAAUAAGCUCUCCAGGUACAGAAGAGAUCUGUGCCACUCCUCACCCCAGAACCUUGAAGCUAAGGUGUCAG